rnacentral:rRNA from 1 species
AUGGUUCAAUCAACAAAACAUGCAACUUUCCCAACAGUAUAUCGCCUCAUCGAGUUGACAUUGAUCCUCCCCGUGGCAACUUCAUCUGUUGAGCGAAUAUUUUCAGCAAUGAAGAUCAUCAAAAUAGAUUUGCGCAAUAAGAUCUCGGAUGAUUGGCUCAAUGACUUAAUGGUGUGCUAUUGUGAGAAAAGGAUAUUCAAAAGUAUUCAUGAUGAUCAGAUCAUGAUACAAUUCCAGAGAAAGAGUGAUCGGAAAGCUCACUUGCCUCGUGAGUAUAAUGUGAUUGCUUAA